rnacentral:misc_RNA from 1 species
AGAAACCCAUAUCCUAAAACAAAACGAAGCAGAAAUCCCCAAUCCCCAAUGCACAGAUUCCUCACUUAGCCUUACCCAUUCGCAGCAGAAGCUCCCUUUGGUUUUUGAGCACCACCACUCACAAUCUCAGAAACCCAUAUCCUAAAACAAAACGAAGGAGAGAUCCAAAUCAUGAAAAGGGAACACCCGAAUCUCCAUACUCGGUUAGAACCAGCUUCGGCUGGCAGUUCUUCUUCUGUUUACUCUACCAUGCCACCUGCUAAUACCAAUACUGAUGCUUCUUGCAAAGCCAAGAUGUGGAAAGACGAUGCCCACGUUGAUGGUGGGAUGGAUGAGCUUUUGGCUG